GCAUGAUGGAGAAGGCACCGGGACCGGCGCCGCGCCGCGCAGGUAGCGAGCUCCGAAGGCCCUGCGUGCCGCCGCCUCCGCCACCGCCCACCCUGCAGUCGGCCUGCGGCGACAAAGCACAGAUGAGGGUGAGCACAGCAGUAGUCUCUUCCUGCCCCACAGCACCGGAGCACGGGCGGAGCCGCCGACUCGAGUCACAUUGCUGAGCAGUCAAAUUGCAUAUUAUAUGUUCUGGGCCCUAUAAGCUGAACGGAAGGAUGAUGCGAAUAAUCUUUUGCGCAUUAUGAAAUGAAAGCAUAGCAUAGUUGUGUAUUUUUUGGCACGUUUUGCAUCUAAUGUGAGCAUGCAACCAUUAAUACUACAUUUAUUGCUGCAACGGCCAGCAUUGCGUAAUCCUUACUGGCAUAGCCCGUAAUAUACACAAAGAAGUUGCAAAAUACAUUUCAAUAAUCUCAAAAGUAUUGAUUUCUGGCGCGAAUGAUUCAUCCUUUUGCUGUUCCCUUUGCUCUGUCAACGCGGAAGUAUUGCUGGACACGUUCGUCACAUGGCAAGGGAUAAUACACAAUGUAAAUCAUA